rnacentral:rRNA from 1 species
UCCGUAGGUGAACCUGCGGAAGGAUCAUUACAAAAUGAAAGCGAUGCUAGUGACUGACGCGAGUUGGUUGCUGCAUUCUAAGCCCACUCCUGAAAGGGAGAUGGACGCACACUUCGGUGUGUUAUAUAUACUUUAAAUCAUGACUUAUCCUUUAUAAAAGAAUAAUAACCAAAACUUUUAACAAUGGAUCUCUUGGCUCUUGCAACGAUGAAGAACGCAGUGAAAUGCGAAACGUAAUGCGAUUUGCAGCAUCUGUGAGUCAUCGAGUUUUUGAACGCACUUGGCACCUGGAGUCUUUCCAGGUAUACCUGUUUGAGCAGAAUAUCCAAAUUCAUUUGAGUCUCACUUGCAUAAGUGUGGCUUGAAAAGAGUUUGAGUGGGACGUGCAACCAGUGCGUGUUCUGUGUGAUCGCAAGGCCGUGGUCUUGAUUCACAGAAUGCGUAGUGUCAUUGUACGAACAAUCCUGCUCAUACCUAACAAUUUCUGUACAUUCUCUCUCAAAUCAGGCAAGAUUACCCGCUGAUCUUAAGCAUAUCAGUAAGCGGAGGAAAAGAAACUAACAAGGAUUCCCUCAGUAACGGCGAGUGAAGCGGGAAGAGCUCAAAUUUGGAAUCACGGCAGUUUCUGUUGUGAAUUGUAAUUUCAAGACAUGUGGGAAAGCGGGAGAGCGUGUUCAAGUUUCCUGGAAUGGAGCACCACAGAGGGUGACAGUCCCGUCUGGACAUGUUUUACUGCGCAUCUCUAAUGUCGACGAGUCGAGUUGCUUGGGAAUGCAGCUCAAAUGGGUGGUAAAUUCCAUCUAAAGCUAAAUAUUGGUGGGAGACCGAUAGCGAACAAGUACCGUGAGGGAAAGAUGCAAAGAACUUUGAAAAGAGAGUUAAAGAGUACCUGAAAUUGCUGAAAGGGAAACGCUUGAAGU